UUACGGGAGGCAGCAGUGGGGAAUCUUCCGCAAUGGGCGCAAGCCUGACGGAGCAACGCCGCGUGAGUGAGGAAGGCCUUCGGGUCGUAAAACUCUGUCAUCAGGGAAGAAACAAAUGACGGUACCUGAGGAGGAAGCCACGGCUAACUACGUGCCAGCAGCCGCGGUAAUACGUAGGUGGCAAGCGUUGUCCGGAAUUACUGGGCGUAAAGAGCGCGUAGGCGGGGAUUUAAGUCAGGAGUGAAAACUGCCGGCUCAACCGGCAGCCUGCUCUUGAAACUGGAUUUCUUGAGGGUAUGAGAGGAAAGCGGAAUUCCCAGUGUAGCGGUGAAAUGCGUAGAUAUUGGGAGGAACACCAGUGGCGAAGGCGGCUUUCUGGCAUACAACUGACGCUGAGGCGCGAAAGCGUGGGGAGCGAACGGGAUUAGAUACCCCUGUAGUCG
rnacentral:rRNA from 1 species